rnacentral:lncRNA from 1 species
UUUUUCCAGAUUUAAUGUCAGUAUGUUUUUAAUAUCCAUUUUCUGAUAUUUUGCCACCUGUAUACUUGUUCUCCCACCAACCCCUUCCAUUUCCAUAGAAGUAGAAAAUGAGCUGGCUGGGUUUGUGACAGUGCCCUUACUCUUCACUGAUUUGGUGAAGAAGAUGAAGGCAGAAGCACUUGUUUCUAGAAGAUAAUGAUGGAAGAAAAUGUCACUGCUCCUUUGGAAAGAGUGGACAGAAUAAGGAGAGGAAAGAAGACUUUCUCUUAAAUGAGUGGCCAAGUUUCCCUCCCAGGGAAUUUCAUGCAGAACCUUUGUGGGGUGAUAGCCAAAGUCUUACAUCAUUAAGUUGCUCCAGAUUGUUACAAAGGUGUUGUUUUACUAGUGCAAUUGAGGCUUUCUACUGCUGUGUGCCCUAGUUCUAUAAAUAAAUAUUACAUUAGCUCUGUAUUUCUUUUUUUU